rnacentral:rRNA from 1 species
CGGACGGGUGAGUAACACGUGGAUAACCUACCUAUAAGACUGGGAUAACUUCGGGAAACCGGAGCUAACACCGGAUAAUAUAUUGAACCGCAUGGUUCAAUAGUGAAAGACGGUUUUGCUGUCACUUAUAGAUGGAUCCGCGCCGCAUUAGCUAGUUGGUAAGGUAACGGCUUACCAAGGCAACGAUGCGUAGCCGACCUGAGAGGGUGAUCGGCCACACUGGAACUGAGACACGGUCCAG